UCGUAGACCAAGGAGAUCUGGUGGUCCUUAUUUUUUAGGCAGUGUGAGACAUGGCAGAGGUUUUGUAGGUUAGCUAGUUGAGUUCGCACUUCAAGCUUUGCAUAGUGACUCAGGUGUGUAAGGGUACCGCACAGUUCCUACAGCCUCGUUCUUGAGGGAAUGUCCUAGACAUUGGCCGAUGUGUCACAACGAGGUAUUUAGGAGAUUAGAGGAUUCCCAAGAUGGGGGAGGCCCGACCCGUUGAUUUGUUUCAUAUAGUAGGCUUACGGCUGCUAUGCCAGUUGAAUGUCAUUUAGGUAUGAUUUCGAUUUGUUAUAAAGGAUCACCAUCCAUUUCUAUGAGUUAUAGCCAUUUCUAUCAUCUAUUUCUAGUCAUUUUCGAGAGUUACAAGACUAGUAGUAAAUUCAUGUUGUC
rnacentral:lncRNA from 1 species